AGCAGCCGCGGUAAUUCCAGCUCCAAUAGCGUAUAUUAAAGUUGUUGCAGUUAAAAAGCUCGUAGUUGAAUUUCGGGAUUGACGUGACGGUCAUGCCUUAAGGGGUAUGAACUGUUACAGUUGAUUUCUCACCUUCUGGAGAAACUUGAUGUCCUUUAUUGGGUGUCUUGCGGAUCCAGGACCUUUACCUUGAAAAAAUUAGAGUGUUUAAAGCAGGCAUUUUUGCUCGAAUACAUUAGCAUGGAAUAAUAGAAUAGGACGGCAUGGUUCUAUUUUGUUGGUUUCUAGGAUCACCGUAAUGAUUAAUAGGGAUAGUUGGGGGCAUUAGUAUUCAAUUGUCAGAGGUGAAAUUCUUGGAUUUAUUGAAGACUAACUACUGCGAAAGCAUUUGCCAAGGAUGUUUUCAUUAAUCAAGAACGAAAGUUAGGGGAUCGAAGACGAUCAGAUACCGUCGUAGUCUUAACCAUAAACUAUGCCGA
rnacentral:rRNA from 1 species